CAAUAGCGUAUACUAAUGUUGUUGCAGUUAAAAAGCUCGUAGUUGAACUUCUGGUAGGAGUGUCCCGGCCUUUUUGUUUUUACAAAUUGUAUGCUGUGUGACAUCUCUGGCCAUCCUUCUUCUUUGUUUAAAGAAGAUCUUUCACUGUAAAAAAAUUAGGGUGUUCAAAGCAAAAGUUUCUUUGGAAUAUAUUAGUAUGGGAUGAUAAGAUAGGCUCUAGAUGCUAUUUUGUUGGUUUGCACAUUUAGAGAAUGAUUAACAGGGACAGUUGGGGGUAUUCGUAUUUACAUGUCAGAGGUGAAAUUCUUGGAUUUUGGAAAGACGAACUACUGCGAAAGCAUUUACCAAGGAUGUUUNCAUUA
rnacentral:rRNA from 1 species